rnacentral:lncRNA from 1 species
CCCUCCUGUGCGCUCGGGUCCAUCCCGUCACCGCCCAUUGGCCCUGGGUCAGCGCAGGGGCGCCGGCCUGGCUGCGGUUCCGAGUCGGGCGCGCGCCGGCAGGGUUCCCAUUGCCAGCGGCGCAGCCAGACUAGGGGCUGCCCUCCGCCUUCUCGCCAUGGACGCGGACGACUCCCGGGACACCAAGGGCUCCUUGCGGAAGUUCCUGGAGCACCUCUUCGGGGCCCGCAAGGCCAUCGGCGUGCUGACCAGCGGCGGGGAUGCUCAAGGACGCAAGGAUUGAGAACAAUGGACUUUUUGAUGUGUGUUGCAACAAACGCAUAGCCGAGGGCUGUAAAUCGGAGGGAUCACCAGGUCUGCCUACCAGCCACCAGGCAAGUGGGGAGAAGCUGUCACCCCAACUUGAGUUUCAAGAAGACUCCUUGGAAGAAAAGACCACCAAAUUGAGAAUGAAAAGGACAGUAAGUUGUAGCUAUUCUUGAGAUGGGGCAGUGGCUCCAUGCUCUGGCCCCCGACCUCAGCAGCUGUCCCAGCUCAUCACCCUGAGUGCCAGCUUUCCCAUCUCAUCUCAGGAUCUGCACUGGACGGCACCAGGGCUUUCUUCAGCGAACAUCUAAACUCUCUCAAGUGUCUCCAGAGACUUUCACAUGUCUACAAAGAUGACCUCAUUCUGUAACAGCAUGGAUUUAACUUGCUCUUCGAUGUCACUCCUUCACAGAGUGCACUGUUCAUCGUCACCCUAUCCACUAGCGUCAGUCUUACUAAAAGUCAAACAUCAAUGUUAGUGGUAACUCUGGAGGCCUGGCAUUGUAGCGAUAUCCCCAAGAGAAAAUUGUUUUGAACCUUUGUGGGAAAAGUUCAUGUACCUUUUAUUCAAACGCUAGUUUUUAUAAUCUCGCUACCAUGUGGCUUUCCUGAAGGAUGAAAUUUCUAAUGUCCUUCAGGUAGAGAGAGGUAAAAAGUAUUCUAGAACAUUAAUUGCCCACUCCUCUCAUCCCUUCUCAGAAACUAACUGAAUUCCAGUGUGUGUGCCUGGCAAACCCAAACACGGUUUUCCGUUCAGGAUGCUGGUCUUACCUGUGAAGGCGUUCAUGAACGUGGAGAGGGACCGGUUCAACAUUUUGAAGAAAGGGUCUCUGCAUGGGUAUUUCCGAGACCCACAAAGGACAGUAUGCUCAAGAAUGUGAGGAACACCGGUACUGUCCACGGGAGUGGUGCGGAACUGCACGCUAGGGAAGAAGGAACGGCUCGCCAGGAAGGGGGAGGAACAAGGAACAGAAGGCCAGCGACGGGGAGAAACAGAACGCUAGGGAAGGAGAAUGACUAGAAUACAAAACGUUCAUCUUAGUGCUGUGGACACAGUUCCCAGACGCAUCAUCACCUCGGGCUACUAGAAAUCAUUCUGACACCACAAUCCUCCAACCCAGGGUUUCCCAACUGUAAUGUAAAUCAUUGAUUCAGACUAUAAAAUUAUAUUUUGAUGAGAUUGUAAGUCCGUGUAAGCUUUUCCUUAUUUUUCAAGAUGCUCUGUCAAUAAAAAUACUAG